UACAGAGGGUGCGAGCGUUGUUCGGAAUUACUGGGCGUAAAGCGCGCGCAGGCGGCUCUUUAAGUCUGACGGUGAAAUGCCGGGGCUCAACCCCGUGCCCGCCGCGGAUACUGGAGGGCUGGAGACACGUAGAGGCAAGCGGAAUUCCGGGUGUAGCAGUGGAAUGCGUAGAGAUCCGGAAGAACACCGGAGGCGAAGGCGGCUUGCUGGGCGUAGUCUGACGCUGAGGCGCGAAAGCGUGGGGAGCAAACGGG
rnacentral:rRNA from 1 species